rnacentral:rRNA from 26 species
UGACCUCGGAUCAGGUAGG